CUUGGUCAUUUAGAGGAAGUAAAAGUCGUAACAAGGUUUCCGUAGGUGAACCUGCGGAAGGAUCAUUACCGAGUUCAUGCCCUCACGGGUAGAUCUCCCACCCUUUGUAUACCAUACCUUUGUUGCUUUGGCGGGCCGCCUAGCUACUGGCUUCGGCUGGUAAGUGCCCGCCAGAGGACCCAAAACCCUGAAUAUUAGUGUCGUCUGAGUAAAAUUUUAAUAUUUAAAACUUUCAACAACGGAUCUCUUGGCUCUGGCAUCGAUGAAGAACGCAGCGAAAUGCGAUAAGUAAUGUGAAUUGCAGAAUUCAGUGAAUCAUCGAAUCUUUGAACGCACAUUGCGCCCCUUGGUAUUCCGAGGGGCAUGCCUAUUCGAGCGUCAUUAUCACCCCUCAAGCUUCGGCUUGGUGUUGAGGCCUGCCGUAAAGGCACCCUCUAAAAUCAGUGGCAGUGCUGUCAGGCUCUAAGCGUAGUAAUUUCAUCGCUAUAGGGUCCUGGUGGAUACUCGUCAAAACCCCCCCAUUUUUUAAUGAUUGACCUCGGAUUAGGUAGGGAUACCCGCUGAACUUAAGCAUAUCAAUAAGCGGAGGAAAAGAAACCAACAGGGAUUGCCUCAGUAACGGCGAGUGAAGCGGCAAAAGCUCAAAUUUGAAAUCUGGCUCUUUUAGGGUCCGAGUUGUAAUUUGUAGAAGAUGUUUCGGGUGUGGCUCCGGUUUAAGUUCUUUGGAAUAUUACAUCAUAGAGGGUGAGAAUCCCGUAUGUGACCGGCAGCCUUCGCCUAUGUGAAACUCUUUYGWCGAGUCGAGUUGUUUGGGAAU
rnacentral:sRNA from 1 species